rnacentral:lncRNA from 1 species
UAUAUGUGGCGUUUUCGGCGUCCACGUCAUUUUCACGUUUGGUGGUUGGUUGACCAUGUGAAAUUCUAGAAAAAAAGAAAAAAAAAAGAAUGGUGAUGUAUUAUGAGGCGGAUUUCAAAGGUGAUUUGCAAUUCCAAAAAAUGAGAAAGAUAAUGUAUUUAGGGGCAAUUACCCCUAAAAACUACUGGUAUAAACAAAAGGCCCAAAUCUAAAAAUGAAAAAGAGAGCCCAACCCUCUCCACUUGAAUCUCUCUCUCUUCUCCAACGAUGCUC